rnacentral:rRNA from 1 species
AUACGGAGGGUGCAAGCGUUGUCCGGAUUUAUUGGGUUUAAAGGGUGCGCAGGCGGUGCGUUAAGUCAGUGGUGAAAUCUUCCGGCUCAACCGGGAAACUGCCAUUGAUACUGGCGCACUUGAGUACGGACGAGGUAGGCGGAAUUUAUGGUGUAGCGGUGAAAUGCAUAGAUACCAUAAAGAACACCGAUAGCGAAGGCAGCUUACCAGACCGUAACUGACGCUCAGGCACGAAAGCGUGGGGAGCAAACAGGAUUAGAAACCCUUGUAGUCC